AAGUAUUUUUUAUAAACUACGUGCUAUGUGUGUAUAUUAUCUUUAUACUUGUUAUCUAUGCUGGAUGAAAGAUUUUAUACAAGUUUUAAAUGAUUUAAACUAUAUAUGUAUUUUAUAUCUACGAAUAUGUUGGGUUAAACAUGGGUAGAUGAAAGAUGAGAGAUGAAGGAUGAUAUGAGUAAACAUAGGCAGCUAUAGACUUAGCACAUAAUAAAUAACAUCGACAACUAUGGAAUUAGUGCCAAUUAAAUAAAUGCUGGUAGCUAUGGACUUAGUACCUGUUAGAUAAACGUUGGUAGCUUUGGCCUUAGUACCUGUUAGAUAAACGUUGGUAGCUAUGGACUUAGUACCUAUUAGAUAAACACUAGUAGCUAUGGAUUUAGUACCUGAUGAAUGAACUUUAGCAACUAUGGAAUUAGUGCUUUAUGAACACUGGUAGCUAUGGAUUUAGUACCCGAUGAAUGAACUUUAGCAGCUUUGGAAUUAGUGCUUUAUGAACAAGCAUUAGUAGCUAUGGACUUAGUGCCUAUCAUAUAAACGCUGGAAGUAAUGGGCUUCGAAAUGAACGAAUGCAGGAUAAAUGAUUCUUAGGGUAGAUCCUUAAGAGUAAGGAAGAUAAUGGGGAUGGGUAGUUGGGUUGAUUGUUGAUGUUUAAACAUAAUAAUUAUAUUAUUGUGGGUUGAAAACCCUAUGUAAUCACCAGGUUUCCCAACUUGACCCACUCAAGCUUAUUUGUAUCAAAGGUGUCGAUACGAAGCUACUUGUAAAUGAAUGUAGGUUCUGUUUAUGCUUAUGUUUUUGUAUUGACGAUGACAUCCCAAGGUUUUAAAAGGAAUAAAAAUACAUUUCUUCAAAAAUGCUUUGAUAACACAUUUAUCAUGUUUUUCAGGGAAUCAAUUCUGCAACAUUUUUAUUAAAAGAAGUACUCUGAUUUUUUAGAAAGCAUAAACAAAAUCGGUCUUUUCUGACCGUGAAAAUGGGGAUGUCACAGUUGGUAUAAGAGCAAUAGUUUAAGCGAACUAGGAAUACGGAUUUAUUUCUAGACUUAAACUUAGAAUGCUAAGUGAUGAUCGUGAGGAGUGUGUCUAAUAUAUUUUAGGAAGUACACCUGAAUAGACACGAGCACUAGCUCAUUUAGGGAAGAUGCCUAAAUUGCUUUUAUGUGCUAAAUGAUUUCUGAUGCUUUAUGAUGCUAUCGUUUGAACGGACCUAUGGUCUGUUGUCGACCGAAUCAGGAAACUUUAUGGGUUCAGAUUUCUAAACGUUUAAUUACGAUAUUAGAACUGGCAUGUAGUUUUUCGAUGUAAUAAGGAGGAAUACGCGCCUAAACCUUCCUCUAUCUAUAUUCUUGUCUCGAUACACCAAACGAUUGCUUUGGUGUGCAGAGCAUUAUGGUGAACACUAUUAGUGAACUGAGUAAAUGGAGGAAAUGAGAAGGCUUACGAUACUAAAUGGUACCUAUCGGAAGAUAUCGUAAGAGUGAUAUCUUGCCUUUAGAAUGCGUCUAAUAAAUAAUACGUCUAGUACGGGAGAAGUACACUUUCGAAUAGCAGAAAAAAAGAUCUUUGGUAUAAUCCAUGAAGUUACCCCAUCGUCUGACAUUUCCAUUACCAAUCAAGUUGAAGUAGAAUUGAUGAUUGAAGAUACGCAUGGAAGAAGUCCUAGUAGAGUCUAGGGAAAAUUAUAUGAUUGUUUGGACAAUUGCUAUGUGUUAAAAUUGUUUUUUUGAUAAUGUUUUGGAGAACUACGAGACAUUACUUAGGACGAGUGAGUAGGUGUGAAAGGUAGUAGAGGCCAAUACUACCGGAAGCACAUGACUCACACUUGGAUCAGAGAAAGUGACAAGGUCACCAAGAAGCUAGUAAUUGAUUCUGUUUUGUUCGUGUAUGUCGUUACCAUUGUUUCGGUAAUGACUAAGAAGAUGAUUGUUAUUCCGACCCUAGUGGUCUUGUGAAAUUGAGUCCGAUUAAGAUAAGUAUGUUACAUGGUUCAGAGAACCAAGUUCGAUGUAGCAUCUGACUUAAGCCAGACAAUUAAAGUGAAAGAUAAUCAAAAUGAUCAAUAGAAGUAUCACGAUCGUUGUAAAAGCUUGUGGCUAGAAGUUGUCUUCAAAACUGGAAUUUGACUCUAAAAGACAUGAGACUAAGCAUUGCAUCAUACGAUGAGAGGUCAUUAGAAUGUGACCCAUCGGUCUAUUAUGACAAUCGAAGGAAGGAACUUAUCUUAAGUUGUUAAGAAGAAGAAAGAGUCUCCAAUAAGGGUCGAGAUUGUGACAGGAAGGUCCUGAUUGAAAGUUUGAUACGAGACAGAGUGCGGGUGCAAGAUCAAGCACCGCCUGCAGUCAAGAAUUCCAAGAGUCAGAUACUCGUUCAAAGAAACACAAAGGUUACAGUUAUUACUUGGGAUGAAGAGAUAACAUAUGGAAUCAUUAUACAACCCUGUUUCGUUGAUGAUUCCGGGACGUAAUCAUCCUAAGGGGGGAUCAUUGUAACGCCCACAGAUUCAGGCUAGUCAAUUUAGAGGCAAUAAGUGUCGAAAUCGACUUUUCGACAAAAAAUUAUUUAGAAUAAAUAAUCUUAACUAAGUAAUAAUGUAUGUCACAAGGGUUCCGUACAUCUAAAAACGUUUUAAUCCGAGUUAUAACGAAGAAGUUAUGACCUGUCGAAGUUUUACGGCUAAACUGACACGACACUUCGUGACGUAAAAAGUGAGUUUAUGAUAAAGUGCUUUCUACCCUUAGCGAUCUGAACGAAAGUCGUAGUAUACGGUAAAAUGAGAGUGUGCAUAAAAAGAACGUCAAAAUCUGACAUCGUAUGAGGAAAUUAUGAUUUUUCUAAGAUUUAGCAUAGCAGUGUACAACCCGAAAUUCGAAUUUUAGAUUGGUCGAUUUUUGGCCGACGCAACCUAAACGAGAAUUGAAGAUCUCGUUAAUAGCAUUGCAACGGUAAAAAGACAGAUGAAAAUGGACGUUGAAUGAAGAAAUUAUAAAUUUUUAACGGACUUUUCCUGUCCCGCCUUGUUAAAAAUAUAACUUUAAAAAUAAAGUCAAAAUUAGCCAACGGAGUCUAAACAAAAGUUGUAGGGUACGGUCCUGCCUACGCGUGGAUAUAAAGAACGUCAAAAACGGAAUUCGUAUGAACGAGUUAGAAAUUAUAAUAACAUAUUUACGUAUUAAAAUAAAGUAUAAAUCAUAUAUACGUACGCAUAUAUAUACAUAUGUAUAUAUCAUUAGAAAGGUAUCGACGAUGCGGUCAUUAUAAGNAUUAUAAGACUAUUGUUGAGUAUUUUCGACAUUAGUUUAGUACAUUAUGAAGGGGUGUUUAAAAUAGUAUUAUGAAAGGGUGUUUAGUCGUUUAUAUAACUAUAAGCUCAUUAAGUAAUUAUACAGGGUAGUUUUUGAGAAUUCAAUUACUAUAAAUAAGAGCCUUGGGCUCUCAUAUUUCUUGCACCAUUCUCUUGAUUCAAGAGUGUUUCUCUUCUUAUCCCCCGAGCAUUUUGGUCCCUCGUGAUUCGACUUCUCUUUCUGUAGUUUUAGUAUAGUAAGGUGAGCGCUGAAGCGCUCCACGAAACUUUCUUAUAAAGAUUCAACGACGAAGUUCUGCCUCUGCAGAGCUCGACUCCUAGCUAAAACCCCAUUGUAAGUAAGUUAUGCUUACCUUAUUUUAAUAUAGCUUAUAUUUAAAAUUAGUAUUGUUAUUAUGAACUUAUAAUAAAUAUUUGAGCUAUUAUUAUGACUUAUGUAAGUGUCGUUAUAACAUGUUUUUAACUACCCGCGUUACGGGGAAUGUAGUUUAAAGGGCCGCAUAGGGUUGUUGGAUUUCUGAAGUGCUAUAUGCCAAAAUGGUCAUGCCCUCCGAUGUUUUAUGUCUGGCCCCUGUCUGUACAUAAUGGUUGGAAAAUAUUGUUUAACGCUUAUAUAAUAAUAAUAAUACUAAGACUAAUAGUUGGUCACGGUAAAUAUUAGACUAAAAUUUAGCGAUAAUAAUGCUAGGUUUCGUCGAAGGAAAAUAGAAUCGUUAGAAGCAAGCGCUGCCCGAUUUUGGAAUCAUCACCUUAACAAGUGAGUGCAUAGUUACUUUCAACUUACACAUAGAUAUGAAGUAUUUUAUAUAAAUUACGUGCUAUGUGUGCAUAUUAUCUGAAUACUUGCUAUCUAUGCUAGNUAUAUUAUCUUUAUACUUGCUAUCUAUGAUGGAUGAAAGAUUUUAUACAAGUUUUAAAUGAUUUAAACUGUAUAUGUAUUUUAUAUCUACGAAUAUGUUGGGUUAAACAUGGGUAGAUGAAAGAUGAGAGAUGAAGGAUGAUAUGAGUAAACAUAGGCAGCUAUAGACUUAGUGCAUAAUAAAUAACAUCGACAACUAUGGAAUUAGUGCCAAUUAAAUAAAUGCUGGUAGCUAUGGACUUAGUACCUGUUAGAUAAACGUUGGUAGCUUUGGCCUUAGUACCUGUUAGAUAAACGUUGGUAGCUAUGGACUUAGUACCUAUUAGAUAAACACUGGUAGCUACGGAUUUAGUACCUGAUGAAUGAACUUUAGCAGCUAUGGAAUUAGUGAUUUAUGAACACUGGUAGCUAUGGAUUUAGUACCCGAUGAAUGAACUUUAGCAGCUAUGGAAUUAGUGCUUUACGAACAAGCAUUGGCAGCUAUGGACUUAGUGCCUAU
rnacentral:lncRNA from 1 species